UACGUAGGGGGCAAGCGUUAUCCGGAUUUACUGGGUGUAAAGGGAGCGUAGACGGCUAAAUAAGUCAGAUGUGAAAGCCCAGGGCUCAACCCUGGGAUUGCAUUUGAAACUAUGUAGCUAGAGUGCAGGAGAGGUAAGUGGAAUUCCUAGUGUAGCGGUGAAAUGCGUAGAUAUUAGGAGGAACACCAGUGGCGAAGGCGGCUUACUGGACUGUAACUGACGUUGAGGCUCGAAAGCGUGGGGAGCAAACAGG
rnacentral:rRNA from 1 species